rnacentral:rRNA from 1 species
UGUGUAGGCGGUUCUUUAAGUUUGGUGUGAAAUCUCCCGGCUCAACCGGGAGGGUGCGCCGAAUACUGAGGGACUAGAGUGCGGGAGAGGAAAGUGGAAUUCCUGGUGUAGCGGUGAAAUGCGUAGAUAUCAGGAGGAACACCGGUGGUGUAGACGGCUUUCUGGACCGUAACUGACGCUGAGACACGAAAGCGUGGGUAGGCAAAACA